UCACUCAUGAUAACAACUUCCACUCAUUAAGUUUUAAGGCAUUUGUAAAAUCAAAUUGUAACCACAAGUGUUUUCUUAGAACUCUUUAAGCCCCGUCAACAUCUUAGAUCUUCAUAUAAAAGCCUUCGAAUUUGCCAGUGCAGUCAGAAGAGUAUUGACGUUCCGAAAUUGACGUAUAUCCAAAAUGCAACAGUCUCCAAGAAUUAUGUGCUUGGUAUUAGGCCUGUGGCUGUUGUUGCUCGUUACAACUGGAAAAAGUUAUUUAAAAAGUAAUGUAUUCUACAAAUUGACAGCGCCAUCGACAAAAAUGCCUAGGUAUAAGCAACUGGAACUUAUGCUUGUUAAACGCUCCAAAACUAUGACAAAUGCGCAACGGUCACUAUAUAUGGAUAAUUGCAAGCCCCUUGGUUAUAGAUGCCGAUUGGCCGAGGACUGUUGCAGUAUGCAAUGUAUCAAGCGAAGGAAAUGUGUUUACUAUGACAUGAAGGAACUAAGAUUGGAAAGUGAAUGACUGUGAUUAAAAUUAAAAUAUUUUUGUUGUUCAUUGAAGACAUUGCUUUGUACUCAGUAAAGGUGUAAUGACUUUACAAAACUAAA